GACGAACGCUGGCGGCGUGCUUAACACAUGCAAGUCGAACGAAGGGCGAUGGAAGCUUGCUUCUAUCAAUCUUAGUGGCGCACGGGUGAGUAACGCGUAAUCAACCUGCCCUUCAGAGGGGGACAACAGUUGGAAACGACUGCUAAUACCGCAUACGAUCUAAUCUCGGCAUCGAGGAUAGAUGAAAGGUGGCCUCUACAUGUAAGCUAUCACUGAAGGAGGGGAUUGCGUCUGAUUAGCUAGUUGGAGGGGUAACGGCCCACCAAGGCGAUGAUCAGUAGCCGGUCUGAGAGGAUGAACGGCCAAAUUGGGACUGAGACACGGCCCAGACUCCUACGGGAGGCAGCAGUGGGGAAUCUUCCGCAAUGGACGAAAGUCUGACGGGGCAACGCCGCGUGAGUGAUGACGGCCUUCGGGUUGUAAAGCUCUGUUAAUCGGGACGAAAGGCCUUCUUGCGAAUAGUGAGAAGGAUUGACGGUACCGGAAUAGGAAGCCACGGCUAACUACGUG
rnacentral:rRNA from 1 species